rnacentral:pre_miRNA from 1 species
AUUCUACUCCCUCCGUUGCACAAUACAUGCCUUCUAUUUGUCAAAAUAUAUAUGUAUCUAGACAUGUUUUAGUAUAUAGGUACAUCCAUUUUUGGACAAAUGGAAGUCAAGUAUUUUGGAACGGAGGGAGUAGACA